rnacentral:lncRNA from 1 species
GGGAGGCUGAGGCAGGCGGAUCACGAGAUCAGGAGAUCCAGAUCAUCCUGGCUAACAUGGUGAAACCCUGUCUUUACUAAAAAUACAGAAAAAUUAGCCAGGCGUGGUGGCGGGCGCCUGUAGUCCCAGCUACUCGGGAGGCUGAGACAGGAGAAUGGCGUGAACCCAGGAGGCAGAGCUUGUAGUGAGCCAAGAUCACUCCACUGCACUCAAGCCUGGGCAACAGAAGGAGACUCUGUCUCAAAAACAAACAAACAAACAAACAAACAAACCAAACUAGCGGGGGCGUGGUGGCAUGCAUCUGUAAGUCCCAGCUACUCAGGAGGCUGGAGUGGGAGGGUCGCUUGAGCCCAGGAGGUUGAGGCUGCAGUGAGCUGUGAUUGUGCCAUUGCACUCCAGCCUGUAGAGCGAGACCCUGCCUCGACAAAAUUAAAAAAAUAAGUAUUGUUGCUCCCCUUUUGGAGAUGAGUCAAAAAGAUUAAACAACUAGCCCCAAGUCAUGGAGAUAAUUAAAAAAGAUUAAACAACUAGCCCCAAGUCAUGGAGAUAAUUAAAAAAGAUUAAACAACUAGCCCCAAGUCAUGGAGAUAAAAAGGUCAGAAUUUCUUUUUUAGAAACGGGGUCUUACUCUGUUGCCCAGUCUGGAGUGCAAUGGCACAGUCAUGGCUCAAUGUAACCUCAGACUCCUGGGCUCAAGCGGUCCUCCCACGUGAGCCUCCCAAGACUACAGGUGCACACCAUCAUACACGGGACAGGGUCUCGCUAUAUUGCUCAGACUGGAAAGUUCAGAUUUUUAAAUCAGGUCUUGGGACUCCCGAUUCUGUUUUUCCACAGAGUCACCAUCUAUCCUGACAAUGCUCCAUUUCAUGCUGUUUUUCCUCACCUUCAAUACUGCUCCCCCAUCCCCCCACCUCUAGGUGUGAAGGUUACCAGGAGAGACCUGAGCUCGCUGGCUCUGACUCCAAGGUGGCCUCAGUGGAAAGUUUCAAAAGGCAACCGGUUUGGUUUCACUGGCAGGGCAGCGGCAGGCGUUUGGGUUCUGGAGGCCCAGGAAUGUAGAAGCCUCCAGCUAACAGACUCCACGCGCCUAUCCUCCCAAACGCUCUCGGAGAUAAGCUCCCAGCUCCCUCCCCUUUUCCACCUUCAUGCACUUCCUGCUGUAUUCUGUCCAUUCCAGCACUGGCCCUUUCUGUGGGUGGGUGGGCAGAGGAUACAAUUUCCUGCAUGACUACUUGCUCAUGAUUCAUACUUCUAAAUGAAAGUACAACUGAUAUAAAAAAAAG